CAAGCGUCCCUGUAAUCCAGACCGUUAGAGCGGAUAGCUACCUACAGUAUGUCUUAAACAUUGACUCCCACCCUUUGCACCGUGAUUUUCAGCAUCUUCCCUCUGGACGGAGGUUUUUCAGUCCCAAGGGGCAGAACAAAGCCGUACAAAAAUAACCAUGUUUCUGCUGCUAUCACUGAACUGAAAAAGCUGUAGCCAUAUUUCCAAAUAUCCUGGCUUAAUUUUGUUAUUAAUUUUAUUGGUUGUUUCAUUCAUUGGUGGAACCUUGAGCACUUUUCUACAAUUCUACAAUUCACAUAGCAGACGCUUUUAUCCAAAGCGACUUUUAUCAUUGUUAUAAUUUAUUCAUUUUUUAAAAUAAUGUUUCCGUAGGUUUUAAAUAGUUUGAUUUUUCUCGAAUGUGUUUAUCUUCUUACAUCUGUUUUGUCUUUUCUCUCAUAGCUCGCUAGGUGUACAAAUACAGUUACCUGCACCUGAACAAUGAGUAAUUGCUUUAAAUAUCAUAAAACAGGUGGGUGGAGACUAAUUGAAGGCUGUUUGAAAAAGCAGCACACACUUUGAAGGAAACGUCCCUCCUCUGAACAUCUUCACCUCUCUGCUCCAGAGGACCUGACAAGAAUACUUUCUGCCUAUUCUGAAACAGAAAGAUGGCUGUAGCUCUCACUCUCCUUGUUGGCUAUCUGUUCCCAGG